UUCUACUCCAAUCAGCAUUUUACACAGUCCUGGAGACAGCCUGGGGACUCCAUCCAAGGGGCCCAGGCCGCAGUCAGGGGAGAAGGGAGCAGAAGCAUUUAGGCCUGGCGGGAGCAGCCAGCUUCCCACAACACCUGCCCCUCGUCCUGGAAGUCCUUCCACCGAAGCUCCCUCCCUGCCCAGAACCUCAGGGCUCCCGGGAGCCGGCACAGAGGGCCCCUCAGCUGGAGCAUUUUAAGGGCUAGCUCAAUAUGCAGAAGGGGACUACCUAUCCUUUCUACCUGGCGGGGCAACUGAGGGGUCAAGUAACAUAACGGGUUUCUUGGGAAGAAGGGUCCUUGGAGCUGAAGACGGUUUUGGGGAGUGAAAGAAACCACCUUUUCCUGGUAGUAGCAGAGCCAAAACUCCAGCCUUCAACCCACAGACCUGGGUCUGUCCCCAGGCAUUACCACCCACCCCGGGGCCCCAUUGUCAUCUGUGACUUUUGCCUCCCUGCAUCUCAGUUUCCGUGCCUGUCAAGUGGAGAUAUAAUACCUCAUUCUGGGGAGAUACAAUGAAGUACUGCUGGUGAAAAGUACACGUGCUAUACAAAAUUAGGAAAUCCUCGUCACCAGACUUAGCGAAAAAUACAGAGUGGAGUUGACUUCCAGGAUGGAGACACAACUUCCCAGAAUCCUGUUUCACCUGAGGCACAGAAGCUUUCCUUUGUUCACCGUUGCCAGAAGUUAUUGGGCUGUGGCUGGGAUUACCUGUCAGAAUUCACAGGUGAGCUCCACUCUGCACAGGGCCAUGAGACCCUCCU
rnacentral:lncRNA from 1 species